AGCAGGGUGGCCUAGUGGAUCGAGCAUCUGCCUGGGAGUCAGAAGGACCUGGGUUCUAAUCCCGGCUCCACCA
rnacentral:tRNA from 1 species